CGUCAGAUAGCUGAGUGGUCUAGAGCAGUCGCACAGCAAAGAGAAGACCCGAGUUCGAUUCCCGGUCUAGCGA
rnacentral:tRNA from 1 species